AGAGUUUGAUCAUGGCUCAGGAUGAACGCUGGCGGUAUGCUUAACACAUGCAAGUCGAACGGAUGUUUUCGGACAUUAGUGGCGGACGGGUGAGUAACGCGUGAGAAUCUAGCUUCAGGUUGGGGACAACAGUUGGAAACGACUGCUAAUACCGAAUAUGCCGAGAGGUGAAAGAUUAAUUGCCUGAAGAAGAGCUCGCGUCUGAUUAGCUAGUUGGUGGGGUAAGAGCUUACCAAGGCGACGAUCGGUAGCUGGUCUGAGAGGACGAUCAGCCACACUGGGACUGAGACACGGCCCAGACUCCUACGGGAGGCAGCAGUGGGGAAUUUUCCGCAAUGGGCGAAAGCCUGACGGAGCAAUACCGCGUGAGGGAAGAAGGCUCUUGGGUUGUAAACCUCUUUUCUUAGGGAAGAAAAAAAUGACGGUACCUAAGGAAUAAGCAUCGGCUAACUCCGUGCCAGCAGCCGCGGUAAUACGGAGGAUGCAAGCGUUAUCCGGAAUGAUUGGGCGUAAAGCGUCCGCAGGUGGUUUGUCAAGUUUGCGGUUAAAGGUUCUGGCUCAACCAGAGACAGGCCGUGAAAACUGAUAGACUAGAGUAUGGUAGGGGCAGAGGGAAUUCCCAGUGUAGCGGUGAAAUGCGUAGAGAUUGGGAAGAACACCGGUGGCGAAAGCGCUCUGCUAGGCCAAAACUGACACUGAGGGACGAAAGCUAGGGGAGCGAAUGGGAUUAGAUACCCCAGUAGUCC
rnacentral:rRNA from 1 species